UUCCUUCCCUCAAACCCCACCACCCCGCGGCUUUAUAUAGGUUACAUGCAAACUCCCUCCCUCUCUCUCUCUCUCUCUCUCUCUCUCUCCGUGAUGCAAUUCUAGAUAGAUUGGAGAGCUCCAUGGUGGAGACCGAGGGAACCCAGUAAAAAGCUCGAGAAAGAAGGAUCUGGGUUGGCCUCAUUUUCUUGUGUUUACACGGGAGGGAUCCAGGAGCUAGGACGGAGGCCAAAAUCUUGGUCCUUCAUUUGCAUUUAGGACUCGGGCGGCG
rnacentral:lncRNA from 1 species